rnacentral:rRNA from 1 species
AACGAACGCUGGCGGCAGGCUUAACACAUGCAAGUCGAACGCCCCGCAAGGGGAGUGGCAGACGGGUGAGUAACGCGUGGGAAUCUACCCAGUUCUACGGAACAACUGAGGGAAACUUCAGCUAAUACCGUAUACGCCCCAAGGGGGAAAGAUUUAUCGGAAUUGGAUGAGCCCGCGUUAGAUUAGCUAGUUGGUGGGGUAACGGCCUACCAAGGCGACGAUCUAUAGCUGGUCUGAGAGGAUGAUCAGCCACACUGGGACUGAGACACGGCCCAGACUCCUACGGGAGGCAGCAGUGGGGAAUAUUGGACAAUGGGCGCAAGCCUGAUCCAGCCAUGCCGCGUGAGUGAUGAAGGCCUUAGGGUUGUAAAGCUCUUUCAGUAGGGACGAUAAUGACGGUACCUACAGAAGAAGCCCCGGCUAACUUCGUGCCAGCCGCCGCCGUAACAC